UACGUAGGGUGCAAGCGUUGUCCGGAAUUAUUGGGCGUAAAGAGCUCGUAGGCGGUCUGUCACGUCGAAUGUGAAAAUCCGGGGCUCAACUCCGGACCUGCAUUCGAUACGGGCAGACUAGAGUUCGGUAGGGGAGACUGGAAUUCCUGGUGUAGCGGUGAAAUGCGCAGAUAUCAGGAGGAACACCGGUGGCGAAGGCAGGUCUCUGGGCCACUACUGACGCUGAGAAGCGAAAGCAUGGGGAGCGAACAGG
rnacentral:rRNA from 1 species